rnacentral:rRNA from 1 species
UAACACCUGGAAACAAGAUGCUAAUACCGGAUAACAACAGAUGAUGCCUAUCAACUGUUUAAAAGAUGGUUCUGCUAUCACUCUUGGAUGGACCUGCGGUGCAUUAGCUAGUUGGUAGGGUAACGGCCUACCAAGGCGAUGAUGCAUAGCCGAGUUGAGAGACUGAUCGGCCACAUUGGGACUGAGACACGGCCCAAACUCCUACGGGAGGCAGCAG